CGAGCGCAACCCUUAUCAUUGUUUUCCACCANUUCGGGUGGGAACUACAGGGAGGCGACUGGUGAUAAUCCGGAGGAAGGUGGGGANGACGUCAACUCAUCAUGGCCCUCCUGAGUAGGGCUACACACGUGCUACNCGGCGCAUACAGAGGGCGCCAACAACUGAAAGUGAGCGAAUCCCAAAAAGUGCGUCGUAGUCUCGAUUGGAGUCUGCACAACUACUCUAUGAAGUGUCAAUCUCUAGUAAUAGUGGAUAACAAAAUCCCGGUGAAUAUGUUUUCCGGCCCUGUACACACCCCCCCUCACACCACGGGAGUGGGCUGCAAAAAAAGUGGGUAUAUUUUCACUCGGGAGGACGAUCAAACUUUGUGGUUCAUGNAUGGGGUGAAGUUGNAAACAGGUAAACGAAGGGAGAAUUCAACCACA
rnacentral:rRNA from 1 species